rnacentral:rRNA from 1 species
GUUAGGAAUAUUGGGCAAUGGGCGCAAGCCUGACCCAGCAACGCCGCGUGAGGGAAGAAGGCUUUCGGGUUGUAAACCUCUGUCCUUGGUGACGAAACAAAUGACGGUAGCCAAGGAGGAAGCCCCGGCUAACUACGUGCCAGCAGCCGCGGUAAUACGUAGGGGGCGAGCGUUGUCCGGAAUUACUGGGCGUAAAGGGUGCGUAGGUGGCCUUUUAAGUUGGAUGUGAAAUACCCGGGCUUAACUUGGGGGGUGCAUCCAAAACUGGGAGGCUAGAGUGCAGGAGAGGAAAGCGGAAUUCCUAGUGUAGCGGUGAAAUGCGUAGAUAUUAGGAGGAACACCAGUGGCGAAGGCGGCUUUCUGGACUGUAACUGACACUGAGGCACGAAAGCGUGGGGAGCAAACAGGAUUAGAUACCCUUGUAGUCC